rnacentral:rRNA from 1 species
GACGAACGCUGGCGGCGUGCCUAAUACAUGCAAGUCGAACGCAGUGGGGACGGGUGAGUAACACGUGGGUAACCUCCCAUCAGAGGGGAUAACAAUUGGAAACAGGGGCUAAACCGAUACUGAUGGAUGGACCCGCGGUGCAUUAGCUAGUUGGUGAGGUAACGGCUCACCAAGGCCACGAUGCAUAGCCCAACUGAAGGGCGGACCUGCCACACGUGAACUGAGACACGGCGCAGAAUCCUAUGGUAGGGAGCAGGAGGGAAUGUGGGUCUAUGGCCGAAAGUCUGCCCGAGGGACGCCGCGUGAGGGAAGAAGUUAUUAGGAUCUUAAAACUCUGUUGUUAGUUCAGCGUUAUCUUACCAGAAAGCCCCGGCUAAUUACGAUCCAGCAGCCGCGGUAAUAC